GUCGAGGAUCAUUCGCAAUGGGCGCAAGCCUGACGAUGCGACGCUGCGUGGAGGAUGAAGGCCUUCGGGUUGUAAACUCCUGUCGUCCGGGAAAAACGGUUCCGGUGUGAAUAGCGCCGGGAAGUGAUGGUACCGGAGGAGGAAGCCACGGCUAACUCUGUGCCAGCAGCCGCGGUAAUACAGAGGUGGCGAGCGUUGUUCGGAUUUACUGGGCGUAAAGGGAGCGUAGGCGGCAAUGUGUGUCGGAUGUGAAAUCCCACGGCUCAACCGUGGAACGUCAUCCGAAACUACACUGCUUGAGUGCAGGAGGGGAGAGCGGAAUUCUUGGUGUAGCGGUGAAAUGCGUUGAUAUCAAGAGGAACACCGGUGGCGAAGGCGGCUCUCUGGAAUGUAACUGACGCUGAGGCUCGAGAGCGUGGGGAGCAAACAGGAUUAGAAACCCCUGUAGUCC
rnacentral:rRNA from 1 species